UGGUGGAGUGAUUUGUCUGGUUAAUUCCGAUAACGAACAAGACUCUGUCCUGCUAACUAGGUUGUGUUUUCUCGGGUUGGUGUUUCUGGUGUUCCUUCUCGGGGCGCCGGCCCAAUCCACUUGUGAACACAACACUCUUCUUAGAGGGACUGGCGGCUGUUAGCCGCACGAGAUAGAGCAAUAACA
rnacentral:rRNA from 1 species